CUGUCAGCCCCAGCACAGGACGACAUCUUGUUGAUGCGGAUGACGUGGAAGGGGUGGAGCCGCACCCGGAUAUGGAAGCCAUCUUUGCCACAACUUUUUACCAUGUACUUAUUGGCACAAAUUCGGGGACACCUCGGCAGAAGCGAGACUUUGGGUACGGCUUGUUCUUACAAUACCGGUAACAACGGGCGGGGCGGCGGCCCAUGGCGACACCAGGAUCUUCAGUGGCACACUGAAGGGAAAGAGAAAUUUUUUGUAUUUUUAGUGGAGA
rnacentral:lncRNA from 1 species